GGCCCCGUAGCGCAAUGGUAGCGCAGUUGACUUUUAAUCAAUUGGUUGCAGGUUCGAGCCCUGCCGGGGUCA
rnacentral:tRNA from 1 species